UGGGUUGUUUCAAACCAUUUGCUAUCGUAACUUACGUUCGUUAAAAUUUGACAGACACGUAUGAACUUUAACGUCUGUUAACUUGUUAGCGUUGCUUCAUUGUCAAAAAAUGAGUUCGUCAUUGUUAAUGGGGUUGCCUGUUUGCGUAACGCUAUUUUGACCUAAUGUUUUAUGGGAAUUUUUUUUUAGUAAUAACAACAUUGAUAAAAACAAUGUCAUUUGAAACAUUCUGUCAAGUUUGACAUCGAUGUUUAUUGUUUUGUACGAAAGGAUAAUUAAAAAGUGUUUAAUUUUAAUAUAAAUAAUGGAAACCUUUUCGCCAAAAUAAUAAAUAUGAAAAAGAAAUUUUUGAGGUGCGUGUUCAACAUCUAAAUGAGAAGAGGAAGAACGAUGAAAUCAUUUUUAAACUACAAGAAAAAAAAUUACUUACUAUUAAUUAUACUAAAGGGAUGUAAGAUUAUAUGAAACUGCCAUUUCUAAUGUAAAAUGUAUGAAAAGUGGUACUUAUUUACCUUUGCAAUAAAAAAUAAACUUACUAUAACUUGUUUAUGAUCAGAAUUGCUUGAAACUUAGUAUAAAUGCUCUUCAAAAUAAUUAAAGUUGUGUGUAUCAAUGUUAUAAAAUUAGUGUAAAAAAUAAUAAAAACUGUAAAAAAAUAGAUUUUUAAUAUGAAUUAAUUCUUAUGUGCAUAGGCAGGCUUAACUAUGUAAUGUUAUAAUUCGGUAAUAAAAAGGCAUAUUAUUUUU